rfam:Loa loa cont3.1535, whole genome shotgun sequence.
UUUAAGUGCAUCAAUUUGCAGGUGCCCAAAACAUAUUUGGGUAUGUUAGUGGGUUCAUUAUGUGCUCUGAUGGGUGUAUUGACUAUUGCAUUACCAGUGCCAGUUAUCGUUGCUAAC